rnacentral:lncRNA from 1 species
GACUGGAUGGAGCUGUGGGUUGAUGAUGCCUUUUGGAGCUUCCUCUUUUCACUCAUCCUUAUUGUGAUAAUGUUCUUAUGGAGGCCAUCAGCAAAUAAUCAGAGGUAUGCCUUCAUGCCCUUGAUAGAUGACUCUGAUGAUGAAGUUGAGGAAUUCAUGGUAACAUCUGAAAAUUUAACUGAAGGAAUAAAACUAAGAGCCUCAAAAACGGUUUCGAACGGAACAGCUAAACCCACUUCUGAGAACUUCGAUGAAGAUUUGAAGUGGGUGGAAGAAAAUAUUCCCUCUUCCUUCACAGAUGUAGCUCUCCCAGUGUUAGUGGACUCAGAUGAGGAAAUUAUGACCAGAUCUGAAAUAGCUGAAAAAAUGUUCUCUUCAGAAAAGAUAAUGUGAUCAGGGCCCCAGUGGGUCCAGUGUGCAUGGGAGCGCGGUCAGGUGAUGGGAAAGGCCUGGCUCUCGUCAAAACUGACAGCUGCGCUAUGAUACAUGUCUCACUUUGUUGUCUUGGAGAUCUGUGUAUGCAGGUGAAGAACUCAGGUGUGGGAGGGUCUGCCGCCCUCAGAAAGCCAUCUUUGAAACGGACUCAUAAAGUCAGUUUUGUUGCCAUUAAGUUGCCUGAUUUUGGAAACAAUUUAAGAAGUGUUAAAGACAUGUGUUCAGAUGCCUCUUAGGCGGCAGCCACAGGCAUGCCAGGUUGUGUCCCUCAGUUUUCUCCAGACAAAAGAAUCUGCAGCUGGGCGUGGCGGCACACUACUGGCAGUUGAAAGUCUGUAAUUUCAAGGCCAAGCCUGGUCUACAUAGUUCCAGGACAACCAGAGAGAUCUACAUAGUGAGACCCUGCCUCAAAACACAGAAACCAAAAAGAAAAAAGAAAAGAGAAAAAUCUCUGUGAACAUUCCUUCCCCUCAACUUCGAGAUAACAUGAUUCUCCUGAAUGCUAACACAGCGGUCUUCAUCUUUUGUAGUGAUCAUUUUAUUUGAUUUUUUUUAUACUGAAGUGGCAAUAUUGGAACUCAAGCAUGUUCAUUUAUUUAAUCUUGCCCCUUUUGUUGGUGUGCACACAGCCUUUGUUUGUAAAUACCACCAUGCACUCCAGUUCACAGUCUGAGCACGGGAACACGUGUGCACAAAGACUGCAGGCCUCAGGUACAUGUGCUGCUGCUACUUCUGCUGUGAACCUGGCCACGCGACUCCCUAUAGCACUUUAUCCCAGCCUGGGGUGCACUGUCUUGUGAACCUUGUGAAGACUUGUGAAGUACCAAUUUGUUACACAAACAUCUAACUAUACCAUGCAUCAACAUGUAAUUAACCAGCUCUCAACCGUAUUUUACACCUUGUUAAAUUAUGUUUAUAAUGUAUGAUUGAAAGUUUCUGUUCUAAUAAUUUUUAAACAAAGAAUGUUCUAGACUUGAAAGGCACUUGAAUGUAGAGUGAUGAAAAUGUGAACGUUUGCCACUUUCGUGACCAAAGAUACCAGGCUGUUGGACAUUGAAUGUGGUAAUGACAGGCAGCGUCUUGUAUGCCUUCUCUCUGGAGGACUUCUGGCCUUGUGGGUUAGAACCCUGGGAAAAUUGAGAAAACAUGGAAAUGAUAAGAAGUACUAUCCAGAGCCUGUGAAGAUUUUCACCGUGGCACCACAAAACAAACCUUUUUCUUUCAAAUGCCUACUUUCUGAGUUUAUUUCCUGCGGUCUCGUUUCAAAAGGGUUGGUAGAUAUAUAUUUCUAUAGUUGUGUGUCCAUUUUAGGUUUGUCAUAAUCCACCUUCUAACUCAGUUCUUUGAAAACUGGGGAUGUCUUGCGGGGGAGGAGCAUUGCAGGGUGUCACUGCGUGGCUCAGGCUGAAGUUGGACUUGUGAACCUCUUGCUAAGAUUAUAGGCACGCACCAUGGGCCCCUCCACAUCUGAUUUAAUACCCUGUCCUCACAGCAUGAAGCAGCUGACCCCCAGCCCACAUCAGCACUUCAGUGUUUCUGCUCAUAGCCAGCAGGAGCUACACAUUGCAGGAGCAGGGUGUGAGUCUGGAGCUGAGGGCAGGGAAGUGCUUCUGACGCCACCUCAGUGGUAUUUCUGAAACCCAGGAAAGACAGAUAAUGCUGCCUCUGGCAUAUGAAAUGAACUCUCUCUUUCUAUCCAGAGAAAAACUGCGUAGAAAUGUUGUUGCAAGCACGUGUAUGGUGUCUGUUGCAUUUAGUGAUAACUGCCAGGUGCUGACGUUCAGUGCCCUAAGGUGAGUAUUUCUUGGGGCCUUAGCCCCAGCAUGUAUCCUUAUGCUGUCACUGUAGAUCACAAGGACUGGGAACGCCACCCAGGAACACCGCACAGCUCCUCUUCCCUGUCUGCCUCAGGUCUGCAGACAACACUGGGACUCUGCAGGUGCUCAGCUCAGUGUCUGUUCAGGAUGCUCUUGAUGGACCUAUUUUUUAAUUUCGUGCUCUAAGGAUAAGGCUCCCAUGUUCAAGACUUCUGGGAAUACAGUUCAUGUUAGAUUUUGGAGGCAUAGGAAGUUUGAGACAUUUUUUCAUGAUUUGAAUUAAGUUAAUAUUUAAAAAUCUGCCUUCAUGGGUAGUUAUUACAUUUCAGUAAGAAAUAGGAGGUGGAAGUUGUAAGUUUGGGAGAUGGUAGGAUACUCCCAUGCGUUUUCCCAAGUUUUUUGUUUGUUUUGGGGUUUUGUGUUUGUUUUUUUCCUAUCCUGUGGAGAGUGCCACCUGUAUCUCGGUACAUUAUGUUUAUACUACUAUAAUGUCACAAUUAAACUAAAAGUAUGUGUACAGAGUUGACUUCAUGCCCUCUUGAAGGUUCUCGGUACAUUGUGUUUAUACUACUAUAAUGUAAGGAUUCAACCUGAAGUACACGUACAGAGUUGACUUCAUGCCCUCUUGAAGGUUUGGGCCAUUCCCUGGCUGUACAUGACUGAAGCUGAGAGAGAUCAUGCUGUUUUGUCUCUCGUUCUGAUACUUGUCUUUGUAUGAUUGACAGCAUGCAGUAAGCAAUACAAAACACUAAGCCUUACAUCAGAAAGAAGUUUAAUAUAUAAAAUUCUGAACAUAUAAAUGUAUAUGUGACAAAACUAGAUUUUUAAGGAAGGAUAUGCUAUAGGACAGGAACUCAAUACUGUAUUAAGACACUGUUUUAGAAUUAGGAAAACAUUCAUUUCUGUGGGGAGAAAGUCUAGAGGUUAAACAUAGAUUGUCUAUUUUAAAAAGUUAAAUUAUAAUUUGGAGAAAUUUCUUUGAAUAUAGAACACAGCAAUUUAAAAGACUUUUGUUUGAAAUUUUGUAUUUUUGUGCCUUAAUUGUUUUUUUAAUAAAUUGCUUUCUGACAUUUGGA